GGACUUGUCACGGAGAGAGAAACGAUCAUCUACGGAACUCCUACCACGUGCCAGUUUCAGGUGUACAAAAUAGUGACUCAGCAAUUAUAUACAUUAUGAAGCAUUCACCACGUUUUCAGAGCCCACUGCUGGCUCUGAAGAUGAAGGAAAGCCAUGAGUGAAGGAAUGCAGGCAGCCUCUAGAAGCUGGAAAAGGCAAGGAAACAGACGCUCCUCUAGAGCCUCUAGAAGGAAUGCACCCCUGCUGACACCUUGAUUUCAGCCCAGUGAGAUCCUUCCCAGACAUCUGAACUCUGUAAAGUAAUAAAUUAAUGUUGUUUUAGGCCACCAAGUUUGUGGUAAUUUGUUUCAGCAGUUAUGGAAAACAAAUAUACAUUUUUUCCUUGAUAGGUAGCUAUGCUUGCCAUAUAUCACCAGCACUCCCUUUUCCUUGAGAUUUCUCCUUCUUUCUCUUUUUCUUUCUCUUAAAAAGGACUUCAGACUUC